rnacentral:rRNA from 1 species
AUUGAACGCUGGCGGCAGGCCUAACACAUGCAAGUCGAACGAGUGGCGGACGGGUGAGUAAUGUCUGGGAAACUGCCUGAUGGAGGGGGUUAACUAUUGGAACCGUUAGCUAAUCCCCCUUACCACCUGAUGUGCCCAGUUGGGAUUAGCUAUUAGGUGGGGUAAAGGCUCCCCGAGGCGACGAUCCCUAGCUGGUCUGAGAGGAUGACGAGCCACACUGGAACGGAGACACGGUCCAGACUCCUACGGGAGGCAGCAGUGGGGAAUAUUGCACAAUGGGCGCAAGCCUGAUGCAGCCAUGCCGCGUGUAUGAAGAAGGCCUUCGGGUUGUAAAGUACUUUCAGCGGGGAGGCGUUACCCGCAGAAGAAGCACCGGCUAACUCCGUGCCAGCAGCCGCGGUAAUAC